GGACGAACGCUGGCGCGUGCUUACACAUGCAAGUCGAGCGGUAAGGCCCUUCGGGGUACACGAGCGGCGAACGGGUGAGUAACACGUGGGUGAUCUGCCUCGUACUCUGGGAUAAGCCUGGGAAACUGGGUCUAAUACCGGAUAUGACCACAUGUCGCAUGGUGUGUGGUGGAAAGAUUUAUCGGUGCGAGAUGGGCCCGCGGCCUAUCAGCUUGUUGGUGGGGUAACGGCCUACCAAGGCGACGACGGGUAGCCGACCUGAGAGGGUGAUCGGCCACACUGGGACUGAGACACGGCCCAGACUCCUACGGGAGGCAGCAGUGGGGAAUAUUGCACAAUGGGCGGAAGCCUGAUGCAGCGACGCCGCGUGCGGGAUGACGGCCUUCGGGUUGUAAACCGCUUUCGACUCCGACGAAGCGCAAGUGACGGUAGGAGUAGAAGAAGCACCGGCCAACUACGUGCCAGCAGCCGCGGUAAUACGUAGGGUGCGAGCGUUGUCCGGAAUUACUGGGCGUAAAGAGCUUGUAGGCGGUCUGUCGCGUCUUCUGUGAAAAUUCACAGCUCAACUGUGAACCUGCAGGGGAUACGGGCAGACUAGAGUACUUCAGGGGAGACUGGAAUUCCUGGUGUAGCGGUGAAAUGCGCAGAUAUCAGGAGGAACACCGGUGGCGAAGGCGGGUCUCUGGGAAGUAACUGACGCUGAGAAGCGAAAGCGUGGGUAGCGAACAGGAUUAGAUACCCUGGUAGUCCACGCCGUAAACGGUGGGUACUAGGUGUGGGUUUCCUUCCACGGGAUCCGUGCCGUAGCUAACGCAUUAAGUACCCCGCCUGGGGAGUACGGCCGCAAGGCUAAAACU
rnacentral:rRNA from 1 species